UACGGAGGAUGCAAGCGUUAUCCGGAAUGAUUGGGCGUAAAGGGUCCUGAGGUGGCUGGCUUAGUCUACUGUGAAAGAUCAGGGCUUAACCCUGAACAGGCGGUGGAAACUAGCAAGCUAGAGUACGGUAGGGGCGGAGGGAAUUCUCGGUGGAGCGGUGAAAUGCGUAGAUAUCGGGAGGAACACCAGUGGCGAAGGCGACUACCUGGCCUGUUCUUGACGCUGAGGCGCGAAAGCUAGGGGAGCAAACGGG
rnacentral:rRNA from 1 species